rnacentral:lncRNA from 1 species
CAGUUUUAGAUUCUACUGCCAGAUUGCACUCCGGCUCUGCUGAGGUGCUGGUUUCUGAGCCACCUGUUGGAAUCUGUAGCUGAGCCCCAUCAGAGCCGGGAGAAAGAACUUUCUCUGUGAGGACAGGGGCCGAGCUACUCUCUGCGUGGAGUCUGGGGGCUGGCGGCUGCGCUUAACACCUUCUGCUGUCACAGGUGGAGAUGAGCUGGGCACAGCUAGGAGGGGCGGCGGGAGGCCCAGUGCUGGGGGAGAUGUACACAGAAACGCACGUGGCGAGCCCGGCUGAGGUGCCCAGAGGGCCCCAGCCUUGACGCAGACCUCCUGUGGCGAGAGAGGGCGUCUCCAGGGCAGUUUGUGGUAUUGGUUGGUCCUGACAGGUCACAGCUCCUGCUGGGCCCUCAGAGGCUCAGCGCCAAUGUGUACCGCUCCCUGCCUUCGAGCACCUUGGAGAGCCUUUGGGAACGGUCUCUGAUGCAAUUGGAGUUGGUCUCCCAUUGUGACGUUCACUCCACCUACUGUGACGGACCCACAGCGAUAUGCAGGUUUACGUACACGUUCUGCUGGAGACACUGCCCCUGUUCCCACACCUGUUGCACUGCCCCACUGGGGCUGCCAUCACAAAGGACCACAGAUCGUCCCACCGCUCUGGGGGCCACGGUUGGAGAUCAAGAUGCCAGCAGGGGAGGAAACAAUUCACCCUGGAUACGUGGCCAC